CCCACCCCGCUGGGGUAAAAGCCACUACGGCGCCCCGGAGCUGACAAACUUUGUAGAUCCGCACUCGCCCCGGGUUCUCCGGCUAGUCUUCGGGGCAACCUCUCAGGCUGCGGGAGCCGGCGUGCCAAUCACAACGGUGCCUGCAGGGCUGGCCCCGCCUCUACUGCUUCCGUCCCGAGCUAUUGGCUUCGCAGAGGGGCGGUGCCUGGCUCGACUCACCGGAUUGGUACCCAGCGAGCGUCUGUCUGUCCUAGAGGUCAAGGCUUUUCUGCAGCAAAUUCUAAACACGUAUGCCGGCCAUCUCUGUCCAAGGCUCAGGUGUAUACAGAGGAAAGGCCAUGUGGGACACAGUGAGAAGGCAGUCCUGCCUGCAAACCAAGAGAGUUCUCUCCAGAAAGUCUGCUGGCACCUUGAUCUUGGGCUUUUAGCCUCAAGAACUGGCUUCGCCUACACCUUUGGGCUCCCAGAGGCCCCCUCUGCCUGUUCUUCUAGCCUGAAAGAUGCGGAUGUUCAGAGUAUUUGCACUGUAUACUGUCCUGUAGUUGUGUGUGACUGAGCUUGUCCUUCAGGCGAAAUGACAAGAAAAAGGUAGGAAAAAAAAAGUCACUGGGAUACCUCCAUCACUCUGUGCACAACAAGGGCCCCUUUUCAAAUUCCUUGCAUCGAUUUUCUCUCAGGGUUGAGGUGCCUGUGCCCCUGCCCUGCUGAGACAGUGCUAACACAUUGGUGUUGCCCUCAGGGCUGAG